rnacentral:tRNA from 1 species
GGAGCGGUAGUUCAGUUGGUUAGAAUAUCGGCCUGUCACGCCGGAGGUCGCGGGUUCGAGUCCCGUCCGCUCCG